rnacentral:tRNA from 1 species
GCAUCGGUGGUUUAGUGGUAAAAUUAGCCGUUGCCACGUGAUAUCCACAGGUAUCACGCAGUUUCGGCUAGCCCCGGGUUCGAUUCCCGGCCGAUGCA